AUGUCCGGAGCGGGAGGCAGGUGGGUGGCCUUCACCAUCAAGGAGGAACACAUCACGAAGCUCCGGGCGACCGGAUACUUGGCCACAGAUAUCGCGCACCAGCUCCCGGAUGCAGGGCAGAUUAUCCCGACUCCAGGACCCCACGAGAGGGUCAUGUUCCUCUCCCACUUCGUCCGCGGACUGGGAUUCCCCCUCCACCCAUUUGUCUGCGGGGUCAUGUUCUAUUACGGGCUGGAUUUUCAUGAUCUGGCCCCUAACUUCAUCCUCAACAUCUCGGCGUUUAUCGUCGUGUGCGAGGCCUUUCUCCGCAUCAGGCCCCACUUUGGCCUGUGGCUAAAGAUCUUCAAUGUAAAGCCAAACAUAGUGGUCGGCCAGCAGGCGGAGUGCGGUGGCGCCAUGGUGGGCAAGAUGCCCAACGUCACUUGGCUUGAAGGCUCCUUUGCGGAAACCGUGAAGGGGUGGCAAUCGGGAUGGUUUUAUAUCAUCGAGCCGCGCGAUGCCAACUGUGUGGCGGCCCCGGGAUUCCGAUCCGGCAUCCCUGUGCGGCUCACUUCCUGGAAGAGGAAGGGCCUUGACUGGGGCGCAUCCGCGGAGCUAACCGGACUCUAG
rnacentral:rRNA from 1 species